UAGCUUGUAUUCUGUUACCUCGGUUUUUUAUUUAGUCCCCCUUAAAUUCCCUGUUCCUUGAACACUAAAGGAAAUGGUGCUAGAAAAUCGUCUCCCUUCCUUAAUUCAUUAUGGACAAAAACUUCAUCCAGUGAAUUGACGCACAAACACCCAGCUAUGCACUAAGUCAAUACAACUCAAGGACACAAAUUCAGCACCUAAAAACUCUCA
rnacentral:lncRNA from 1 species